rnacentral:rRNA from 1 species
GGUUAAGCGACUAAGCGUACACGGUGGAUGCCCUGGCAGUCAGAGGCGAUGAAGGACGUGCUAAUCUGCGAUAAGCGUCGGUAAGGUGAUAUGAACCGUUAUAACCGGCGAUUUCCGAAUGGGGAAACCCAGUGUGUUUCGACACACUAUCAUUAACUGAAUCCAUAGGUUAAUGAGGCGAACCGGGGGAACUGAAACAUCUAAGUACCCCGAGGAAAAGAAAUCAACCGAGAUUCCCCCAGUAGCGGCGAGCGAACGGGGAGCAGCCCAGAGCCUGAAUCAGUGUGUGUGUUAGUGGAAGCGUCUGGAAAGGCGCGCGAUACAGGGUGACAGCCCCGUACACAAAAAUGCACAUACUGUGAGCUCGAUGAGUAGGGCGGGACACGUGGUAUCCUGUCUGAAUAUGGGGGGACCAUCCUCCAAGGCUAAAUACUCCUGACUGACCGAUAGUGAACCAGUACCGUGAGGGAAAGGCGAAAAGAACCCCGGCGAGGGGAGUGAAAAAGAACCUGAAACCGUGUACGUACAAGCAGUGGGAGCCUCUUUUAUGGGGUGACUGCGUACCUUUUGUAUAAUGGGUCAGCGACUUAUAUUCUGUAGCAAGGUUAACCGAAUAGGGGAGCCGAAGGGAAACCGAGUCUUAACUGGGCGUUAAGUUGCAGGGUAUAGACCCGAAACCCGGUGAUCUAGCCAUGGGCAGGUUGAAGGUUGGGUAACACUAACUGGAGGACCGAACCGACUAAUGUUGAAAAAUUAGCGGAUGACUUGUGGCUGGGGGUGAAAGGCCAAUCAAACCGGGAGAUAGCUGGUUCUCCCCGAAAGCUAUUUAGGUAGCGCCUCGUGAAUUCAUCUCCGGGGGUAGAGCACUGUUUCGGCAAGGGGGUCAUCCCGACUUACCAACCCGAUGCAAACUGCGAAUACCGGAGAAUGUUAUCACGGGAGACACACGGCGGGUGCUAACGUCCGUCGUGAAGAGGGAAACAACCCAGACCGCCAGCUAAGGUCCCAAAGUCAUGGUUAAGUGGGAAACGAUGUGGGAAGGCCCAGACAGCCAGGAUGUUGGCUUAGAAGCAGCCAUCAUUUAAAGAAAGCGUAAUAGCUCACUGGUCGAGUCGGCCUGCGCGGAAGAUGUAACGGGGCUAAACCAUGCACCGAAGCUGCGGCAGCGACACUAUGUGUUGUUGGGUAGGGGAGCGUUCUGUAAGCCUGUGAAGGUGUGCUGUGAGGCAUGCUGGAGGUAUCAGAAGUGCGAAUGCUGACAUAAGUAACGAUAAAGCGGGUGAAAAGCCCGCUCGCCGGAAGACCAAGGGUUCCUGUCCAACGUUAAUCGGGGCAGGGUGAGUCGACCCCUAAGGCGAGGCCGAAAGGCGUAGUCGAUGGGAAACAGGUUAAUAUUCCUGUACUUGGUGUUACUGCGAAGGGGGGACGGAGAAGGCUAUGUUGGCCGGGCGACGGUUGUCCCGGUUUAAGCGUGUAGGCUGGUUUUCCAGGCAAAUCCGGAAAAUCAAGGCUGAGGCGUGAUGACGAGGCACUACGGUGCUGAAGCAACAAAUGCCCUGCUUCCAGGAAAAGCCUCUAAGCAUCAGGUAACAUCAAAUCGUACCCCAAACCGACACAGGUGGUCAGGUAGAGAAUACCAAGGCGCUUGAGAGAACUCGGGUGAAGGAACUAGGCAAAAUGGUGCCGUAACUUCGGGAGAAGGCACGCUGAUAUGUAGGUGAAGCGACUUGCUCGUGGAGCUGAAAUCAGUCGAAGAUACCAGCUGGCUGCAACUGUUUAUUAAAAACACAGCACUGUGCAAACACGAAAGUGGACGUAUACGGUGUGACGCCUGCCCGGUGCCGGAAGGUUAAUUGAUGGGGUCAGCGCAAGCGAAGCUCUUGAUCGAAGCCCCGGUAAACGGCGGCCGUAACUAUAACGGUCCUAAGGUAGCGAAAUUCCUUGUCGGGUAAGUUCCGACCUGCACGAAUGGCGUAAUGAUGGCCAGGCUGUCUCCACCCGAGACUCAGUGAAAUUGAACUCGCUGUGAAGAUGCAGUGUACCCGCGGCAAGACGGAAAGACCCCGUGAACCUUUACUAUAGCUUGACACUGAACAUUGAGCCUUGAUGUGUAGGAUAGGUGGGAGGCUUAGAAGUGUGGACGCCAGUCUGCAUGGAGCCGACCUUGAAAUACCACCCUUUAAUGUUUGAUGUUCUAACGUUGACCCGUGAUCCGGGUUGCGGACAGUGUCUGGUGGGUAGUUUGACUGGGGCGGUCUCCUCCUAAAGAGUAACGGAGGAGCACGAAGGUUGGCUAAUCCUGGUCGGACAUCAGGAGGUUAGUGCAAUGGCAUAAGCCAGCUUGACUGCGAGCGUGACGGCGCGAGCAGGUGCGAAAGCAGGUCAUAGUGAUCCGGUGGUUCUGAAUGGAAGGGCCAUCGCUCAACGGAUAAAAGGUACUCCGGGGAUAACAGGCUGAUACCGCCCAAGAGUUCAUAUCGACGGCGGUGUUUGGCACCUCGAUGUCGGCUCAUCACAUCCUGGGGCUGAAGUAGGUCCCAAGGGUAUGGCUGUUCGCCAUUUAAAGUGGUACGCGAGCUGGGUUUAGAACGUCGUGAGACAGUUCGGUCCCUAUCUGCCGUGGGCGCUGGAGAACUGAGGGGGGCUGCUCCUAGUACGAGAGGACCGGAGUGGACGCAUCACUGGUGUUCGGGUUGUCAUGCCAAUGGCACUGCCCGGUAGCUAAAUGCGGAAGAGAUAAGUGCUGAAAGCAUCUAAGCACGAAACUUGCCCCGAGAUGAGUUCUCCCUGACCCUUUAAGGGUCCUGAAGGAACGUUGAAGACGACGACGUUGAUAGGCCGGGUGUGUAAGCGCAGCGAUGCGUUGAGCUAACCGGUACUAAUGAACCGUGAGGCUUAACCUU